rnacentral:ribozyme from 13 species
AAAGGAAAGAAGAACCGAUUGUGGUGUGUUUUUUUUUGUUGUUGUUUUUGUUGUUCUUUUUCUUUUGUUGUUUUUCUUUUCAA